CAGAACUGAUUUAGUGUAUGUCUUGGACAUUGUGAAGCAUGAUGCUUCCACUUUCCUUUCAAUCAGUCUAGCAAUACCUAAUGCCUAAUAAUGCUGCAUGGAUAAAUAUCUUCUCAUAUGAGAGCAGUUGCUGCCAAAAGUGAUUUUUCUCACCAUUUAAGUAUUUGAAUCCAAUAAGUGAAAAUGAGCUUGUUUCCUUACCGAGCCUAGAAUCUGGCCUGGGUGUAGACACAUUUUUUCAGGCCCUUAAACCCGGUUUACAUCUGGUCAAUUCACCCAUCUUGAAUAUCAGGAUUAAAUCUGGAUAUCGGCAAGCCGCAUUAACAUGUAAGUGUAAACGUACCCAAGACCCGUUUAAAACAGGUACAAAUCCAAUCACUCAAACAAUCCACUUCCCUUCAGCUGGUCUAAACUCAACCAGACCCUUCUCAGUACAACUGAAAGAACAACUGUACGUACAACCAGUGGUUAUUGCUCAAAUGCAUCUGGCUAAAAUGAUCUCAUCAGGAUACAAUCCAGAUUCUUAUCCAGAUUCGUUUCAUACAGUGACCAGUGUAAACGUAGUCACAGAUGCAUAAAGUAUAAAGAUCUUAUACUUUUGUCACUUGAAAUGCAGUAAUCCUUCUAAACUUCUUUAGUGUUCAUUGGCUUGGGUAAUCUAGUCUAUUGUAUUUUGAUCUGUCAACUUUCUGUGAACAUGACAGAGUCACAAAACGUAAAAAAAGGUUCAGAAAUCUGCUACUUUUGACUGGUACUGUUGAUGCUCUUUGUAAUAGACAGCCAUGUCUUUGGAUUAUUUUGCACUUGAGCCAAGUUGAUAAAAGGAGAGCCAUUUGGUAAUUAAUUGUAAAUGUCUCCUAGUAAACUGCAAAGAGGAAUCCCUGCCCCCCCAUUCUGUGAAAACCUGUCUACAUGCUUUUCCAGCAUUCCAAGCCACAUCCAAUGUCCCCUGCCCAGAUGCCACCCUUCAUCUGUGGGACUGGACUCGUCUAUCAGGCUUCUAAGGUGGAGAUUUAAAUCUGAGCCAUCCUCUUUAGGUUCACCCUCUUUCUCUGUUUUAUUGUUGGUGUAGGAGUAUUAAGGAUAUCCUACAGCAGGUUCAUGUCACGAGCACAGAAGAAGCAGAGCAGGAGGCUCUGUGUUCAGUGUGUGGAGAUGCAUCCGAAGAUCCAGGUCCUGAAAACAUGUAGCAUCUUAUAAGAGAAACCAAAGUGCUCAGGCGUGGAACAUGGACACGCUUACUCACAGAAUGGAGUAGAAAAGCUCAACCACAGACUCUCCUUGCUAAAUCCCAUGGUUUUGUGAGUUUAAUGGAUUAAUCUCACACCAGAGACCCACCAAACAGUGCUGAUCGUCACUGUAUCUAAUAGAUGUUUCAACUACGCUGAUAUCAGCUUCUCAAGCACUGUGGAAAAACAACAGUAUCCAAACGUACCUUUUAUUUUUCACAUUUGAAACUGGGAACUCCUAUGGGGUAAACUUUUGGAAUGUGUAAAUAAUAAUCCAGUUUGAGGAGAUCAUUGAGAUCAUGUUUGGUGUCAUGCAUGAUGAAUAAACGGUCUGCUAUAAAAAAAAAAAAAACUCA
ensembl:lncRNA